UCGACGGCAGCGCGGGAGCAAUCCUGGCGGCGAGUGGCGAACGGGUGAGUAAUACAUCGGAACGUGCCCAAUCGUGGGGGAUAACGCAGCGAAAGCUGUGCUAAUACCGCAUACGAUCUACGGAUGAAAGCAGGGGAUCGCAAGACCUUGCGCGAAUGGAGCGGCCGAUGGCAGAUUAGGUAGUUGGUGAGGUAAAGGCUCACCAAGCCUUCGAUCUGUAGCUGGUCUGAGAGGACGACCAGCCACACUGGGACUGAGACACGGCCCAGACUCCUACGGGAGGCAGCAGUGGGGAAUUUUGGACAAUGGGCGAAAGCCUGAUCCAGCCAUGCCGCGUGCAGGAUGAAGGCCUUCGGGUUGUAAACUGCUUUUGUACGGAACGAAACGGCCUUUUCUAAUAAAGAGGGCUAAUGACGGUACCGUAAGAAUAAGCACCGGCUAACUACGUGCCAGCAGCCGCGGUAAUACGUAGGGUGCAAGCGUUAAUCGGAAUUACUGGGCGUAAAGCGUGCGCAGGCGGUUAUGUAAGACAGUUGUGAAAUCCCCGGGCUCAACCUGGGAACUGCAUCUGUGACUGCAUAGCUAGAGUACGGUAGAGGGGGAUGGAAUUCCGCGUGUAGCAGUGAAAUGCGUAGAUUUGCGGAGGAACACCGAUGGCGAAGGCAAUCCCCUGGACCUGUACUGACGCUCAUGCACGAAA
rnacentral:rRNA from 1 species